rnacentral:rRNA from 1 species
CCUACGGGGGGCUGCAGUGGGGAAUAUUGGACAAUGGGGGCAACCCUGAUCCAGCCAUGCCGCGUGCGUGAUGAAGGCCUUAGGGUUGUAAAGCGCUUUCGGCGGGGACGAUGAUGACGGUACCCGCAGAAGAAGCCCCGGCUAACUUCGUGCCAGCAGCCGCGGUAAUACGAAGGGGGCUAGCGUUGUUCGGAAUUACUGGGCGUAAAGGGCGCGUAGGCGGCCCUGCAAGUCAGAGGUGAAAGUCCUGGGCUCAACCUGGGGAUUGCCUUUGAAACUGCGGGGCUGGAGACCGGGAGAGGGUAGCGGAAUUCCCAGUGUAGAGGUGAAAUUCGUAGAUAUUGGGAAGAACACCAGUGGCGAAGGCGGCUACCUGGACCGGUUCUGACGCUGAGGCGCGAAAGCGUGGGGAGCAAACAGGAUUAGAUACCCUAGUAGUC